GAUGAACGCUGGCGGCGUGCCUAAUACAUGCAAGUCGAGCGAACAGACGAGGAGCUUGCUCCUCUGACGUUAGCGGCGGACGGGUGAGUAACACGUGGAUAACCUACCUAUAAGACUGGGAUAACUUCGGGAAACCGGAGCUAAUACCGGAUAAUAUAUUGAACCGCAUGGUUCAAUAGUGAAAGACGGUUUUGCUGUCACUUAUAGAUGGAUCCGCGCCGCAUUAGCUAGUUGGUAAGGUAACGGCUUACCAAGGCGACGAUGCGUAGCCGACCUGAGAGGGUGAUCGGCCACACUGGAACUGAGACACGGUCCGGACUCCUACGGGAGGCAGCAGUAGGGAAUCUUCCGCAAUGGGCGAAAGCCUGACGGAGCAACGCCGCGUGAGUGAUGAAGGUCUUCGGAUCGUAAAACUCUGUAAUUAGGGAAGAACAAAUGUGUAAGUAACUAUGCACGUCUUGACGGUACCUAAUCAGAAAGCCACGGCUAACUACGUG
rnacentral:rRNA from 1 species